UGGUUGGCCAUGUGUACCUUGAAAAUUA
rnacentral:piRNA from 1 species